AACAUUCUGUAUCCAUACUGAGGUUUCGUCACACACCAGACCACAAGGGUUGAUGAGACUCUCUAGAUAAGCGAAGUA
rfam:Schistosoma haematobium scaffold72_14, whole genome shotgun sequence.